AACAUCCAGUCUGGUUCCUCCACCAAACGUCCACCACAGUGAUACAAACUGAUUGAGUCGCCGUACAAAAACCUCUCACUGUAGAGACACGGCUCUCUGACUUUGAACACAACAAACUCAACAUGAGCAUUUCCUGUUUUUAUAGUAAUAACAUUUUAUUCAUGUUUUUUCAAACAGCAACACAAUUGUUAAGUAUUAAGCUCAUUAUUAAAGAAAUAUUGUAAAAGUUGUCUGAAAGUAAAAUUGAUCUCUUUAAUAUUAAAUGAAAACAGACACAAGACUUUCUGAAAGAAAAUCUUUCUGCAGCCAUCAAAGCAAAUCCACAUAUAAAUGAUCACUUGUCCAUCAUUAAUCAAUACUCUGAUUGAUCCAUUGAUAAACAGCAUCAUCAGAGGGAUCCAUAAGUCCCUGUUGGAGUCAGUCAGAGCAUUUCCAUAGAGAGCCACUUUGCAUCAGCAGCACCAUCCUCCAGUGCUCUGGGAGAGUUUAUAGUCCUGAGAGUUGGACACUGGAUGACUGACAGCUGUCCUUCAUCACAACAGAAGACUCAGAAAUCCUCCUCAUCAAAAACAUGACUUUGAUCUCCGUCCUCAUCUGGACUCUCCUCUGCUUCACUCAGGGGUCUGUUGGACAAAACGUUGUCUUGACUCAGCCAGCGGCCAAAUCAGUGCAGCCGGGUCAAACUGUUUCUAUUGACUGUAAAGCCAGUCCGACGGUUGCUCGGUAUUCUGGUUCACAAUACUUCCUGGCCUGGUACCAGCAGAAAACGGGAGAAGCUCCUAAACUUCUGAUCUACAGAACAUCAGACAGACUUUCUGAAGUCUCGUCCAAAUUCAGUGGAAGUGGAGCAGGGAAUGGAGUUGACUUCACUCUGACCAUCAGUGGAGUUCAGGCUGUAGAUGCAGCAGUUUACUAUUGUCAGAGUUAUCACUCUAUCAACAGUCAGAAUGUGUUCACACAGUGAAAAAGCGUCGUACAAAAACCUCCCUCAGUCAGAGUGAACAGAAACUGAACUGACUGCUGCAGCUGGAAGCUACUGCAGAGACUGAUACACUUCACUGAGGAC